UGCCUAAUACAUGCAAGUCCAGCGAACAGAAGGGAGCUUGCUCCCGGAUGUUAGCGGCGGACGGGUGAGUAACACGUGGGUAACCUGCCUGUAAGACUGGGAUAACUCCGGGAAACCGGAGCUAAUACCGGAUAGUUCCUUGAACCGCAUGGUUCAAGGAUGAAAGACGGUUUCGGCUGUCACUUACAGAUGGACCCGCGGCGCAUUAGCUAGUUGGUGGGGUAAUGGCUCACCAAGGCGACGAUGCGUAGCCGACCUGAGAGGGUGAUCGGCCACACUGGGACUGAGACACGGCCCAGACUCCUACGGGAGGCAGCAGUAGGGAAUCUUCCGCAAUGGACGAAAGUCUGACGGAGCAACGCCGCGUGAGUGAUGAAGGUUUUCGGAUCGUAAAGCUCUGUUUGUAGGGAAGAACAAGUGCGAGAGUAACUGCUCGCACCUUGACGGUACCUAACAA
rnacentral:rRNA from 2 species